CAGUAGCCACGGGAAUACGGAGGGUGCAAGCGUUGUCCGGAUUUAUUGGGUUUAAAGGGUGCGUAGGCGGCUAUUUAAGUCAGCGGUGAAAGACUCCGGCUCAACCGGAGCAGUGCCAUUGAUACUGGAUAGCUUGAGUGUUGGAGGGGUACAUGGAAUUGAUGGUGUAGCGGUGAGAUGCAUAGAUACCAUCAGGAACACCGAUAGCGAAGGCAUUGUACUGGCCAACAACUGACGCUGAGGCACGAAAGCAUGGGGAGCGAACAGGAUUAGAUACCCCGGUAGUCCCUGUCUCUUAUAC
rnacentral:rRNA from 1 species